rnacentral:rRNA from 1 species
GAUGAACGCUAGCGGCAGGCUUAACACAUGCAAGUCGAGGGGCAGCGCGGGAUAGCAAUAUCCUGGCGGCGACCGGCGGAAGGGUGCGUAACGCGUGAGCGACAUGCCCGUUGCCCGGGGACAACCGGUGGAAACGCCGACUAAUCCCCGAUGGGAUAUUGUGCCGCAUGGCACGAUAUUGAAAGUUACGGCGGCGACGGAUUGGCUCGCGUCCGAUUAGCUGGUUGGCGGGGUAACGGCCCACCAAGGCUGCGAUCGGUAGGGGUUCUGAGAGGAAGGCCCCCCACAAUGGGACUGAGACACGGCCCAUACUCCUACGGGAGGCAGCAGUGAGGAAUAUUGGUCAAUGGGCGGAAGCCUGAACCAGCCAUGCCGCGUGCGGGAAGGAGGCCCUAUGGGCUGUGAACCGCUUUUGCCUGGGGGAAAUAAGGGCGUCGCGCACGUCCGAUGAGAGUACCAGGCGAAUAAGCAUCGGCUAACUCCGUG